CUCAUAUCUAAUCGGAGAAAAUGGAGGGUGCGGCGAAUCGGCGGAGGGAAGUAAACGGCGGCAGCGGUGCUUUGGGCUAAGUUGUCGAUCUGCUCUGCCUCUCAUCAGGUGAAUUAUUGUAUGCAAUUUUGAUUAAUUAUAGAAGUAAGAAUGGAGAAAGGAAGAAUCGAUGCAGUGGCAGUUACAUGGUUUGAUAACAGUAAAUAAACAUUGGAAGCUUGUCCAUUUUUCAUCAAUGAGAGGUUCCUAUUGAUGUUUAUACUUAUGACGUUAAAAAUUUUGAAGAUCCAAAAGGCCAAAGAAAAGAUUACGGGUGAUGGAUAAACAUCGUUGGAUAGUUCAUACUUCAUAGCUCUUUGAGAUUUCAAUAAGAUUAUGGUGAAUUGUUCGAGGUUUUCAGAAGAACCAAUAUCAAUUUUUAAUUGUGCGUUGCAAGAGUAUCAAAUACUCCAUGAGUAACAAAUAUGGAUAAUUAAUCAAAGGAAGUAAAUUAUGCAUAUGAUGUAAUUGGAGAUAAUGGUUCAAUAAAAAUCAUUCUUUUAAGGAAUGUGAUAUGUCAGAUCAUUUUAGUAAAGUCAAUUUUAAACAA